rnacentral:rRNA from 1 species
GAUUCCCCCAGUAGCGGCGAGCGAAGCGGGAAGAGCCCAAAAUGAAAAGCCKGCUUGCAGGCGUUGUAGUUGAGCGUCCUUGAGGUGUCAGUGCAGGAAAGUCGCAUGGAAAUGCGCGCCGUGGAGGGUGAGAGCCCCGUCCAUCCUGCACACGACUCUUCGUACGAGGGCGUUUCAGACGAGUCGGGUAGCUUGGGAAUGCUGCUCUAAUUGGUGGUAAAUCUCAUCAAAGGCUAAAUAAUGGUGGGAGACCGAUAGCGAACAAGUACCGUGAGGGAAAGAUGACAAGCACUUUGAAAAGAGGGUGAAAAGAGCCUGAAACCGUUACGGGGGAAGCGGAUUGCGUUGGAUUGAUGGGUACCAGUGUGUUCAGCCGUUAUGGUGCAUUGAUGCUGGUACUUAUCCACCGUGGGUUUUCGGUAGCCGAAUUUGGGCUGCUGGAGGCUGAGGGCUCCCUUCGGGUGAGGACGGUGGAGUGACGACGCGAUACGACCCGUCUUGAAACACGGACCAAGGAGUCUAGCGCGGGUGCGAGUCGGAGGGUGUUAAAACCCGUGGGCGUAGUGAAAGCGAGUUUGAAAACUCUCAGUUUGGGGCGGCAUACGAUCGUUGAUUGUAGGUCCGACCUUGAGCAGUUGCGCUGGGACCCGAAAGAUGGUGAACUAUGCCGGAGUAGGGCAAAGCCAGAGGAAACUCUGGUGGAGGCUCGUAGCGGUGCUGACGUGCAAAUCGCUCGUCGAACUUGGGUAUAGGGGCGAAAGACUAAUCGAACCAUCUAGUAGCUGGUUCCCUCCGAAGUUUCUCUCAGGAUAGCGGGCCGACAUGAGUUGUUUUGUGCGGUAAAGCGAAUGAUUAGCGUAAUUGGGGGCGUUUAGCCUUUGGACGAUUCUCAAACUUUCAAUGCGCAAGGGUGCUGGUGCUUUGUUGAGCGGCACCGAUAAAAACGUCGGCCCUGUGGGCCACUUUUGGUAAGCAGAACUGGCGAUACGGGAUGAACCGUAAGCGUGGUUAAGGCGCCGGAUUGUCCGCUUAUAGAUCCCACAAAAGGUGUUGAUUCAUCRRGRCAGCAGGACGGUGGCCAUGGAAGUCGGAAUCCGCCAAGGAGU